CUUUUCUUGUUUUAUUAUAUGAAAUAUAACCUGCCCACUGAAUAAUUUUAAAGGGCCGCAGUAUUUUGACUGUGCAAAGGUAGCAUAAUCAUUAGUCCUUUAAUUGUGGACUGGAAUGAAUGGUUGGACGAGGAAUAUACUGUUUCUUAUUAUUUAUUUGAAUUUAAGCUUUAAGUUAAAAAGCUUAAAUGUUUUUAUGGGACGAGAAGACCCUAUAGAAUUUAUAUAUAUAUUUGUAUACAUGUUGUUUGAUUAUUUAUCAAUAUUUUAGUAUAUAUUUUAUUGGGGUGAUAGGAAGAAUUGAUUAACUCUUUUUUUAUUUAUACAUUUAUUUAUGUUUAUUUGAUCCUUACUUUUUGAUUAUAAGAUUAAAUUACCUUAGGGAUAACAGCGUAAUCUUUUUGGAGAGUUCUUAUCAAUAAAUGGGUUUGCGA
rnacentral:rRNA from 1 species